UACGUAGGGGGCAAGCGUUGUCCGGAAUCAUUGGGCGUAAAGAGCGUGUAGGCGGUUUGGUAGGUCCGCUGUGAAAACUCGAGGCUCAACCUCGAGACGCCGGUGGAAACCAUCAGGCUAGAGUCCGGAAGAGGAGAGUGGAAUUCCUGGUGUAGCGGUGAAAUGCGCAGAUAUCAGGAAGAACACCCGUGGCUAAGGCGGCUCUCUAGUACGGUACUGACGCUGAGACGCGAAAGCGUGGGGAGCGAACAGG
rnacentral:rRNA from 1 species